CCAUUCCGAACUCAGAAGUGAAACGAAAUAGCGCCGAUGGUAGUGUGGGGUUUCCCCAUGUGAGAGUAGGACAUCGCCAGGCU
rnacentral:rRNA from 1 species